rnacentral:ncRNA from 1 species
UAAUUUUGUUAGGUAAAAUUAGUUUAAAGAUAUUAAUUUUAUGUUUAUUGUUUAUUCUUAAAGAUUUUGUUUUGCAGUUUUUAAUAUUGUUUAUUUAAAGAAAUUUAGAUUCAGAUAAUUUUUAUAGAAUUGUAUAAAGUUGUGCCAGCAUAUGCGGUUAUACAUCUAAUUUAAGUUAAUUUUAUUGGUUUUGAUUUAUUAAUUUUAUUGAAAUUAUUUUUAUUAUUGUUAGGUUAAAUUUUUAUUAUUUUUAUAUUUUUGGUUUUAAGGAUUUAUUAAAAAUUCAUUUUAGAGACUAGGAUUAGAUACCCUAUUAUUAUGAAUGUAAUUUUAUCUAUAUUAUUAGUGGUUAUGUUCCUUAAAAUAAAUAAAUUUGGCGGUAAUCUAUUCUUUUUAGAGGAACCUGUUCUGUUAUUGAUAAUCCACGUUUUAUAUUACUUUAUUUUAUUAUUUGUAUAUCUCUGUCAUUGAAUGUCUUAUUAGGGUAUUUUCUUAAUAUUAUUAUUUAAUUUAUGUCAAGUCAAGGUGCAGUUAUAUUAAAGGUUGAAAUGGGUUACAUUUAAUUUAAUUUAAAGGAUUAAUUAAUGAAUUAUUAAUUAUGAAAGAGGAUUUAAAGGUAAAUUAUAUUAUUUAUUAUUAUUGAUUGUGGCUCUGGAUUAUGUACAUAUCGCCCGUCACUCUCAUUUAUUUAGUUGGGAUAAGUCGUAACAAAGUAAUUUUACUGGAAAGUGAUGUUGGAAGGUU